UACGUAGGGGGCAAGCGUUGUCCGGAAUCAUUGGGCGUAAAGAGCGUGUAGGCGGUUCGGUAAGUCCGCUGUGAAAGUCCAGGGCUCAACCCUGGAAUGCCGGUGGAAACUGUCGGACUAGAGUCCGGAAGAGGCGAGUGGAAUUCCUGGUGUAGCGGUGAAAUGCGCAGAUAUCAGGAGGAACACCAAUGGCGAAGGCAGCUCGCUGGGACGGUACUGACGCUGAGACGCGAAAGCGGGGGAGC
rnacentral:rRNA from 1 species